UUUCUCUCCGAAGAGCACAGCUUAAGCAAUAGUAGGCUAGAAAGGCAGCAGGAGGGCUAUGGGUUGAACUUAGGAAAAACCUUGGUGCCAGCCACAGGGAAUACUAGGAAUGACUGCUAUGGUAAAUAUGAACUCUCCUUAGGUAGAGCCCCACGCCAAUGCUCACCAAGACAAAAAGGCCACGGGCACUCAGCCCCAGAAAGCUCUCGGGAAUGCUCCUACACUUCCUAGGGAAGGAGAAGGUAGCUCUGAGCAGUGGCCAUCAGCCUCAGGGAUUUUUCAGCACCUCUAAUUCUGACAAGCCUAGUGCUGGGUGCACUCUGCUUGGCUGACAUCACAGGGAUCACCCAUUCCCCAGGGCUGGGUCAUCAGAUCCUAUUGGGGCAUGUCAGGAGUCACAUGAGAUGGGAGAGGGAGUGAAAAACACCAAACCAAAGAACAUGAAAUAAUUUCUAAACAUUUUUAUUUCAAAUCUCUUUUCACCCCUCCCCAAAAAGACAUGGGUAGGUACAGCAAUCAUAAAAAGGAGAUACAAACACAAGAGUCAAAUGUCUCUCGCACUGACACUUACAAAAAACUGGGAAUUGUACAUGGGGUUUCCAAACAGGACCUGCAGCAGCUACUAACGUCCCUUUACGAGAGUCAAACAUGCCUAUUAAUACAGUAUAUACAGACACCCCAUUCUGGAACUAAUCUACAGGGACAUCCCUAACCCCACCCCCUCUAUCCCCAGAAAAAUACCAAAACACACCCAAAGUGCAUUUGUUUUGUUUAUAUCAAAACCUCUUUCCCUUUCCCCAUCCCACCCUCAGACCCCUCCCACCCCAUUUAAGAUUGGCCUGCAAGUCUAUUUUAACCAUUUAGUAUUUUUUUAUAGUUUAUGAAAAUAAAUUAUACAGCAACUAUUUUAAUAAAUUAAGCACAAAAGGAAGGGUAAAAGAGGAAAACUAAAUGGGAAGACAAAAGCCAGGCCACGCUUUGGCUUGGAGGAGGGCAGAGGGGGGGCUAACGGAGACAGAAGUGGUUGCAAGGGGUGGCUCCCUUUCUGGUGAAAAAUUGGCAACCACCCCGAGCCCAGAAUGACACCCCUCUUCAUCGAGUUUCUUAAAAACAACCAAAAACGUACAGCAGUGGCUAUGCCACAGGCAGCACCAGUGUGGGCAUUCCAACAGCCAGCUACCCAAAGUGGCACCUGGACCCUACCUGUCCCUUGGACAGGUUCUGGGCCUAAGAGUGAGGGACAGGUCCCCGCCCAAGGGAGCACCAGAGAUGGAGGAGUGAGAGCAGGCUUCUGCUCCACCUGAGCUGGUUAGGGAGCUCAGGACGAAACUCUGAGCGGGGCAGUGUGGUAUGUGAUGAUCCCAGAGUCUGAGGAAGAGUGUCCUAAGUUCCUCACACUCUAUCUCCAGGAGGAACUACGAUCGCAGUCCAGCUGCAACCAAACAUGCAUGUCUUCCCGCCGUGGCUGGCUGCUUUCUGUCUGCCCCUCCAGGCCUCUUGGUGUUGCAGAGGAGGGGGUAGGAGAGGGAAAGGGAACGGUUCCAGGUCACCUCUAAACCCUCUAGAAAUGAAAUGGGAAUGAAGCAGGUCACAAACUCAGCAUGCAGGGCUGGCUUCCCGGGAGGUAGAUGGGAGUGGGACGGGAUAGCAGGUGUGGAGAGGACAGGAAGGGAAACAGGAAGAAACUGAGCGACACCUGCCAGGAAGGUCAAGAAGCAAUGAAAAGGACAAAGACAAUAUGAAAUCUGCAUGAAAAGACAGGUCCUUUUCUGGCAGAUUAGAGAAUCAACAUUUUCAGUACAACUCAUAACGCUACUUUCCUAACUGCAGUACCCGAGUCCCCAGCGCCUGUCUCUAUGAUCCAACCCCCAUUUCACUGCUCCCAAGACUUUGCUCUCCAUUUUAUCAAGGCCUCCAAUCAUUUUGUGCUGAGUGUGAAGGCUCCAAUGUGAAAGCAGGGUCUACCACAGGGACGUGCAGACUUGACCUUUGUGACCCAAUCAUUUUAUAGCUAUCGCAGCAUAGGAGGGGGGCACACUUUUCUUUCUUUUUUUUUUCUUUUUCUUUUUUUAAUAAAAAAGGUUUUACUCCCCAGGAGCAAAUAAAUCAUUUUGAACUACUGAUAAACACUGCUGCAGUGAAAAGAAAGAUGGCUACAUGUAUGCAAUAGCACAAAUUCAGUGGAAGAACAGCUGUGUUGACGAUUAGAGAUAAAAAUCACUUAUCCAUUCCCUCCUUUCCCACAAACCAAACCGAGGAUUCCCAUAGGGAAAAUGUCUAACUCAAUAGCUCCUCCCUUACAUGACAGGGGGUGUGUCAUUCUCUUAACAGUGGAAAACAAAUGCCAGGUCUCCGCCCAGUGGAGAUGCUCUUAACACCCUAACUGGUAGCAAGACUUCUGCAAAUGAGGACACACACACACACACACAUGCAUGCAUAUGCACACACACAGACUCAGACCUCCUUCCAGCAGCCAUAGAGCUUUAUCCCAGUGUCUUGUCCACUAACUUUAGGGCUCCAAAGCUAAGGGAGCGAGGCAGCAGGGAAGGGAAAGAUCUAACUGAAGGAAAAAGCUCCUCCUCGCCCCAGUUUCUGCAGGGAGCAGAGGGCUUCAAGCAGGCCAUGCUUUCCUGGGGGCCCUGGGGUGAGGGCUGACACGGCUGGAUUCCAGGGCACUUCUGGUUCUACUCCCACCUCUCACCCCUAGACCUAGGAACUAUAAUUACCCCCACUCCCUAAUUCUUCCUGGAUGUCUGUUACAGGGGUGUCUGCAGCUAUCUCCACACCAUCCCCAACCUCAAGGGGGGCUUACAUCAUUAGCCCAAGUGAAAUGUAGGGAAGGGGAAGGAGCAGGAGCCAUGCAGGAGUUUCCUUUGGCCACACCUUUCUCCUCAGGGAGGUGGCGCCACCUCCAUGGCUCAGGUUCCAAGAUGUAACAUUCACUUGGCCUAGGCACAGGCAGGUGACCAGGCAAAGGUCAGCACCAAUGGUCCCAAAGAGCCGGUUGCCACCCACUUACCUAGUGCCCACACCAAAACCCCCGCCCGCCUACUCCUGUGCUACCAACAUAGCACACGAAUUUCAAGUAACAGCAAGUUGUAGCAGUAGUUGUCACUGGCUCACAGCAGCUCACUCUCAACCUGAGGAAGGUUACAGUAGAUCAGUCAUAAACAGGUGAGGGUUAUGCAGGCACUGAGGCCACUGAUAUCACCCACCCACAACUUAGGAAUCAACAGUGGGUCCCUAGAUGUAAGCCUUUUCCAAUUUGUGACUUGAAAAUACAACCAGAAAGAAAUUAUUUAUUUUUUUUGAGAUGGAGUCUCACUCUGUCGUCUAGGCUAGAGGGCAGUGGCGCAAUCUCGGCUCAGUGCAACCUCCGCCUCCUGGGUUCAAGCAAUUCUCCUGUCUCAGCCUCCCAAGUAGCUGGGACUACAGGCGCAUGCCACCAUGCCCAGCUAAUUUUUGUAUUUUAGUAGAGAUAGGGUUUCACUGUUUGGCCAAGCUGGUCUUGAACUCCCGACCUCAUGAUCCACCCACCUCAGCCUCCCAAAGUGCUGGGAUUACAGGCGUGAGCCACCGCGCCCAGACCUAGAAAGGAAUACAUUUAAAUGAGCUCUGCACAGCACUGGCGAAGGAGGGACGGGCCUGGUCAGGGAGGUGAAGGGCAGGUGCUGCCACACCUGCUCCUCUGCUCCAUUUACUCUCUGACCAGGCUGUAUCCCAGAGAGCUGACACAGUUCAACACGACACUCCCCAGGAGGAGAAAGGUGGGUGGUGAGGUUGGGUCACACCUCCUCAGUUGGUUUGUUUUGUACCUGAAUGUAUGAGUUCUCCAGAAGAAACCCCAGUAACACAGGGGGUGCAGAGGCUCUGCCUCCCUCACAUGGCCUGAGCUGACCAUAGUGAGGCCCUGGCAAUGGGCAGGAGCCUUGCUGACUCCUUUGGGCUUUGGGCUCCACCUCACCAUCAUAACCCCUUGGCACUCAGGUCUGCCUGGUGGCUGGGAAGCUUCCAUCUAGAAAACCGCACUGGAAAGGAUUCUUUAACCAUGUUGCUCUAACAGGGCUGUGCACUGUUCAGUACAUGCCAUGCAGAUUUCUGCUUCCUUGCUUUUGCUCAUGUGUUUUUCAUCUCACUGUCUGUCCUGCCAUUGACUACAACCCAAAGCCUCAGAGGCACAGAACUUUCCCAGACCAUCUGGUCUACCCUGAUCUUAUCUACUAUAAACGUCUUUAGAUAGUCCUUGAUUUUCUGCUUGAUGUGCAGCAGUCACCUAAAAGCUCCCUUAGGCCACAUAUUACGUCUUUUACCUUUUUUGUUUUCUACAAUAUCUAGCGCAAAGCCAGGCACACACACACUAAAAAAUAAUAUUAAAAUUAUGGGUGGUUGAAAAGGAACAAAAAAAAGAAAGAUCCCAGGCUGUAUAUCAGCCACCCAAGGAUCUCAACAGAUUCCAACUUCAGGCUCUAUAUUGGGGUGGCACUUCCUGCAAGAUGGCGAGUUAUAUUACUUGUACUCUCACGAGGCAACACUCACAUGCUAAGCCAAUUUCUGGGAUCACAAUCUUGCUUAGUUGAUAAUACUACCAUGGAAGCCAAGGAAAGAAGAGGUACCACAUGACAAAUCAGAGGUGGGCUGUGUUUAUGGUGCACAGCUCAUCUUGUGGGCCACCCUUCCACAGUCAGGUAAUGGUGCAAGUUUCCUCCCUGUUCAGCUACAAGGAGGAAGACUGGUCACUCCACGUGGGACUAAGGAAGAAGGCAAUGCUCCCAGAUGAGGCAGUCCUAUAAAUUACCAGGACACUGGGGCCCCACCCAAACCAUCAGGAAGCCACAAACCUGACAUUAGUAUCUGUCUUGUGACACGAGGCAACUAUAAGCAUGGGGAACCCAGAAAGAGAGUCCCAUGGAACACACGCAAAGGAGUCAUGAAGACCCAACAGCUCCACUGUUACAUCUCAAUAGCAAACCUCUCCCCAGAGCAGCUCUAUAAGAAAGCAAACUCACAAUGUCAUAUGAAUUGGCCAUGGCCAGCUGCAGAAACCAUUAAAGACCAUUGGAGUUUUUCUCCCCGCUCCUCCUGAAAGCAGGGACAGGCAGCUCUCAAAUCGGCAUCUGGCAGACUUUCCAGUGAGUGGAGACCAGCAGGAUCUGAUCCGGAAAUGUCUGGGUUGCUAGAAUGAACACAAGAAAAUACAGAAGCCCUUGCUACCUCCCAUCCCAGAAGUGGGAUGGCAGUGAUAAACCUAAAAACGUGAGAUGCGAUGCUCUCCUCUGACCUAAGGAAAUCCCGUGAGGGCUGCGUUCUGAGAGCUUCCUCUAGGAAGAGCACAACUGUGGGAGCUGUAUUUCUCACCUUCCUCCACAUUCCCCCUCACAAGCUGACAGGCACAUGGAAGUAACACUCACUCCUAAGUCAUGAGUACAGUUUGCCAUGAAGAACCUGGAAACAUGCUCCAUUAAAUUCAGCAGCCCAUGACUGGCUCUGAACCGCCCAGGUGAUGGGAAACACGAUUGCCAUGACAGCUGGCAGAAGCAAUAGGGAUGCUGUUACCAUGAUCAGAGUGACAUGUACAGUUAUCUCAAGGGGCAAUGGGUUGAGAGCAGAGGAAGAACGGGGUUAACUUCAGGUCAUGGAACUUAAGGAAUUAAGUAAAUCACAACUAGUACAGCUUCCAUGAGAGGUGUUUCUGAACUCAGGUUCCUAAACCUUAAAAAAGGAUGCAGGAGUCACUACUUCUCCCAGCUAAGGCCAAUUGGCUAGGUUUUGCCCAAUAUUCUUUUCGAGACCACCCACCCUCCUUUCUCUCCUGCUCCUACAACAGCUGCCCAUGGCAACAAGAGGCAGAUUCCCCCUUCCUCAGGAACUCCCAGUCCUUUGCAAACCUCAAGCCCCUCCUCCCAUCUUCCAGGCCCACAGCACAGACUCUAACUCUGCCUUUGGCACCAGCUGAAUGGCCGUCCCCUGUUCCCUCCUCCCACCCCUUCUUUGGACCUGCUCACCCUUCGCACCACUUUCAAUCCAACGGGCACAAACCCCAACUGCCUUCAAGCUUAAUUUGGUUCUUCAAAGCUGGAGCUUGGCAACCAAAUGCCUAGGUAGAAAAGGAAAAAAAAUUAAAACAGUUCAACAGAAUAGAACCAAAAUGGAGUGAAAUAACAGCCAGCCACUGGAGGUGGAGCAGCACACCUCAAAAGGAGAACGGAGCCUGGAGAGCUGAACGCUUCCAUGAGGGCCACAUGUGACUAGGGAUGCAGCAGUGGCCUUUGUCAGGGGGACCUGAGCAGCCUAUGACUUGGAUGACAAAACAAGGUCCUGAAAUAACUAAUAAAUACAUCCUACCACAUUGCAUAAAUUCUCUCUUUCCCUUUCCCUUACCCCUUCAUUUCCUACCCAUUUUUUCCCUGAGGCUCAAUUGCUCUAGGGACUGAAAAGGGAAGUAAGCCCCUGGAGUAACCCCUUUUGAACCUGGCAAGAAAGAGCUCUAUAUUUCUUUCUUUCUUUUUUUUUUUUUUUUUUGAGACGGAGUCUCGCUCUGUCACCCAGGCUGGAGUGCAAAGGCAUGAUCUUGGCUCACUGCAAUCUCCACUUCCUGGGUUCA
rnacentral:lncRNA from 1 species